rnacentral:rRNA from 1 species
UGACUCUCGACAACGGAUAUCUCGGCUCUCGCAUCGAUGAAGAACGUAGCGAAAUGCGAUACUUGGUGUGAAUUGCAGAAUCCCGUGAACCAUCGAGUCUUUGAACGCAAGUUGCGCCCGAAGCCAUCAGGCCGAGGGCACGCCUGCCUGGGUGUCACGCGUUGACUUGCCA